rnacentral:rRNA from 1 species
ACGGAAGGCGCAGUAGGGAAUAUUGCACAAUGGGGGAAACCCUGAUGCAGCAACGCCACGUGUGGGAAGAAGCAUUUCGGUGUGUAAACCACUGUCGUGAAGGAAUAAGGCUUAUUUUCGGAUAAGUUGAAUGUACUUUGAGAGGAAGCACCGGCAAACUUCGUGCCAGCAGCCGCGGUAAUACGAGGGGUGCAAGCGUUGUUCGGAAUCACUGGGCGUAGAGGGAGCGUAGGCGGAGACGCAAGCAGUCUGUACAAUACCGGGGCCCAACCCCGGACCUGCAGACUGGACUGUGUCUCUUGGAUAGUUCAGGGGCAGGCGGAAUUCCUGGUGUAGCGGUGGAAUGCGUAGAGAUCAGGAAGAACACCGAUGGCGAAGGCAGCCUGCUGGGGACUCAUCGACGCUGAGGCUCGAAAGUGCGGGUAGCAAACAGGAUUAGAUACCCUGGUA